rnacentral:lncRNA from 1 species
GGUUUCCAUUCAGCAAUAGACUGUAAACAAGCCUGAUGUUUUGCCUUCAUUUAGGAAGACAUAUCUCAAGACCUAGUAACAGUUUGCUGCUGGCUGCAAAUGACUCUGAUCAUAGAGUGAACUAGCCCUUCAAGUCUCUUUCUCACUGACAUCCCCACAUCUCGUAUGCUUCAGCAUCAAAUCAGUGGUCUUCCCUAAUGUUCCAAAUUCUUUCAUACCUCUGGGCUUCUGCAUUUACUGUCUCCUCUGCCUGAGACUUCUAUGAUCUCUUCUAUUCAUCUGGUGAAUUCAUACUCACUCUUUGAGAUUUAGACCAAACUUCAGCUCCACCAGGAAGUGAUUCAGGCCAGGCUAGGUGCCUAUCUUCUAAGCUUCGAUAACACUCCACUGCACCCUUCUAUGCACUUAACACACUUCAUGAUAGUCUUGGUUUACUUAUUUCUGUGGUACUUCUACAAGAUUCUUGAAAACAUGGACUUAUAUUAUUCAUCUUAUUUUGUUUAUAUAUUCUCAUCUCCUAGUUAGUACAAUUCCUGGCACAUAGGAGAGCUCAUAAAUGUUAUUUAAAUGAAUAAACAAAUAAUUGAAUUAUUAGUAAAAAGCAGGCAAAUUAAGUAGAUUUCUCUACAUUGUGACUUGAAGAUCUUCCCAAAGAACAAAAAUACCUGAAAAGCCACCAUUAGAGAUUUACUAUAGAUUAUUUUGACCUGGCAGUAAAAUUGCAGCAUGGCCUUGAACAAUGCUGGCUUUCUUAGCUAAUAGUUUUUCAUCACAUUAAAGUACACUACAACCAUCCAUCUCCUCCAGAAACCUAAGAGUAGGGUUACAAAAGAACAUAAAAGGUAAGUUCCAAUAAGAGACAAUUCAUGUCUUAAAUUUACAGAAUGGAAUAAUGCUCAAGACAGGGAAGGUCUAAAUAAGUGAUUAGCACACCGUUUUGGGGAGCAUUCAGACUUGAGUUUGAAUCCUAGUUCUACCACUCAAUAGCUAUGAGAUUUGGGAAAAUGUACUUUCUUACUCCUGCAUCAAUUUCUUCAUCUGGAAAAUGGGAAUAUUAACAUCCAAAUCAUAAGAUUAAAUGAGAUAACAUAUAAAAUGCUUUUCAGGAGUUCCCAGGCUCAGGGUCAAAUCGGAGCUGUAGCUGCCAGCCUACGCCAGAGCCACGGCAACACAGGAUCCGAGCCGUAUCUGCAACCUACACCACAGCUCAUGGCAACGUUGGAUCCUUAACCCACUGAGCAAGGGCAGGGACUGAACCCACAACCUCAUGGUUCCUAGUCGGAUUCGUUAACCACUGCGCCAUGACGGGAACUCCUGCACCACUUAUUGAAGAGACUGUCUUUCCUCCACUGAGACUGUCUGUCCUUGCCUCCUUUGUCAUGGAUUAGUUAACCAUAGCACACAGGUUUAUUUUCAGGCUUUCUAUCCUGUCCCAUUGAUCUAUAUUUCUGUUUUUGUGCCAGUACCAUACUGUUUUGAUGACUGUAGCUUUGUAGUAUAGUCUUGAGUCAGGGAGCCUGCUUCCUCCAGUUCUGCUUUUCUUUUUCAAUAUUGCUUUAGCUAUUUUGGAUUUUUUGUGUUUCCAUACAAAUUUUUUUAUUCAUGUAUUUAUUAAAGUAUAGUUGAUUUGCAAUGUUGCGCCAAUUUCUGCUGUACAGCAAAGUGACCCAGUCAUGCAUAGCUAUACAUUCCCUUUCUUCUCUCUCUCUUUUUUUUUUUCUAUCUUUUUGCCUUUUCUAGGGCCACUUCCUGCAGCAUAUGGAGGUUCCCAGGCUAGGGGUCUAAUCAGAGCUGUAGCCACCGGCCUACGCCACAGCCACAGCAACACGGGAUCCAAGUCACGUCUACAAACUACACCACAACUCAUGGAAACACCGGAUCCUUAUCCCACUGAGCAAGGCCAGGGAUUGAACCCGAAACCUCAUGGUUCUUAGUCAGAUUCGUUAUCCAUUGAGCCACGACAGGAACUCCUUAUCUUAUCUUCCACCAUGGUCCAUCCCAAGAGAUUGGAUAUAGUUCCCUGUGCUAUGCAGCAGAACCUCAUUGCUUAUCCAUGCCAUAUAAAUUUUAAAAUGUCCUGUUCUAGUUCUGUGAAGAAUGGCAUUGGAUUAAGAAGAUGUGGUGCAUAUAUACAAUGGAAUACUACUUGGCCAUAAAAAAAGAACAAAGUAGAGUUCCCACUGUGGCUCAGUGAUAAUGAACCUCACUAGCAUCCAUGAGGUUCCAAGUUUGAUCCCUGGCCUCCCUCAGUGGGUUAAGGAUCUAGCACAGACUGGGCUCGGAUCCUGAAUUGCUGUGGCUCUAGCGUAGGCUGGCCACCGCAGCUCCAAUUUGAUUCCUAGCCUAGAAACUUCCAUAUGCUGCACAUGUAGCCCUAAAAAGCAAAAGAAAAAAGAAAAAAAAAAAA